rnacentral:rRNA from 1 species
UACGUAGGUACCAGGCGUUGUUCGGAUUUACUGGGCGUAAAGGGCGCGUAGGCGGCAAUUCAAGUCAUCUGUGAAAUCUCCGGGCUUAACCCGGAACGGUCAGGUGAUACUGUUUUGCUAGAGUGCGGAAGGGGCAAUCGGAAUUCUCGGUGUAGCGGUGAAAUGCGUAGAUAUCGAGAGGAACACCAGAGGUGAAGACGGGUUGCUGGGCCGACACUGACGCUGACAGCGCGAAAGCCAGGGGAGCAAACGGG